GCGGGCAUAGGAUAACGCAGUAUAGACUGGCAACAACGUCUUCACACAACUAGUGAACGACUGUAAAAGUUGGCCUAAACAGACGUACACCAUACUUUGCCAAGAUGGAGGAAACCUCUUCCUUAAAGACACGCUCUCGUGCUUCAUGUUCCUCAGUGCGAUCCAGUACAUCUUCAACCGGGUCUGCUGCAGCCAGAGCACGAGCGAGAGCAGAAGCAGCAAAAGCACGUCUUUCCUUUGCUGAAGAGGAACUAGGCCUGAAACUGGAAAAGGCUAAGUUGGAAGCAUCUAUGGAAAUGCUCAAUUACAAGAAAGAAACUGCUGCUGCUAUUGCCGAAGCAGAAGCACUUGAAGCCGCAGCUGAUUUCAAUAUGGAGAAACUUAGCAGCAAGUUAAGUUUAAAUUCUGUUCCCUUGGAUGCCGCACAGCGCACAGAGCAAUAUGUUGUUGACCAAGCCCAAGUAAAAGAGGAAGAGUACCAGCAAGAUGGUGAUGGUGUCUUACCAAAAACAGAGCCAAGUUGUAGCUACAGUGUUCCAUCUUCACAUCUUAAACCUGAAGCCAAACCAUUUGUUCCAGACCAAAUCAACAAUGCUUCCCAGUCAUCUCAUCUUACCUUACAGCAGCCUCAUGUCUGUGAAGAUAAAGGUCUCCACAUACCAAAUAAAGUUAGAUUCAAGAGCAACCAUACCUCUUCUGUACAACAUAUCACACCAUCAAAAGAUGAAGCUCGUCCCACUCCUUCACCCUACCCAGUUGGGCCAAAUUCCAGUGAUGGCAGCUCGUACGUUCAUGACUUUAUGAGAUACCUUGCUCGACGUGAAGUUGUAGCUACAGGUUUACUUCAGUUUAAUGAUAAGCCUCAGAACUACAGAGCCUGGAAACGUUCAUUUCAAUCAGCUACAAGUGGAUUAAAUCUAACACCAAGUGAGGAGAUGGAUCUUCUGCUAAAGUGGCUAGGCAAGGAGUCAGCAGGACAUGUUGAACAGAUAAGGGCAAUACAUAUCAACCAUCCAGAAGCAGGGUUGGCUAUGACAUGGGACAGACUUGAACAAAUGUAUGGCUCAGCAGAGGUAAUAGAAGAUGCUCUGUUUCAACGCAUUGAUGCCUUUCCAAAAAUAACAAAUCGUGAUUAUGCUAAACUAACAAAGCUGAGUGAUCUACUUAUGGAACUGCUGUCAGCAAAGGAGGAGGGAGAUCUGCCUGGUCUUUCUUUCCUCGACACAGCACGAGGAGUGAAUCCAAUUGUACAGAAGCUCCCGUUUCGUUUGCAGGAAAAGUGGGCUUCAGUUGGUGCAUCCUACAAGCGGCAAAACCAUGUUACCUACCCUCCUUUUGCCUACUUUGUAGACUUUGUUGAACAGGAAGCUACCAUUGGAAAUGAUCCAAGCUUCAACUUCAUGUCGCAUACAGAAAUGCUUCCCAGAACAGAGAAGGCAGCUUGGAAGUCAAACAGACCACGAGAAGUUACUGUCCAUAAGACGGAAGUGUUACCCACUGGCACUUUUGAUUCUGUUGGGUAUCCAAGAAAGGCUGAUGACUGCAACAAGCUGUGCCCCAUUCAUAAAAGACCCCACCCUCUGCGUGAAUGCCGUGCAUUCAGAGAAAGGCCCAUUGAAGAUCGUAAGGCAUAUUUAAAGGAGAAUAAUGUGUGCUUUAAAUGCUGUUCCUCGUCAUCACAUAUUGCUAGGAAUUGUACGACUAAAGUACAAUGUUCAGAAUGCAAAAGUGAAAGACACCAUGCAGUGCUUCAUCCCGGACCUCCACCAUGGAAGGAAAAGGUGGAUCCUGCUCCAGAGCACAGCGGGGAGGAUGUGGCAGCUACAUCUCAAUCUGAUGUCACUAGCAAAUGUACAAAGAUCUGUGGUGGAGAUCUAACAGACCGGUCCUGCUCGAAAAUAUGCCUCGUAAAGGUAUAUCCAGCUGGUCACAGAAACAAAGCAGUAAAACUGUACGCGAUCCUGGAUGAGCAGAGCAACAGGUCCUUAGUUCGUUCACAGUUCUUCGAGGUGUUCAGUGAUCAAAGCCCAGGGGCUCCCUAUACAUUGAGAACGUGUGCAGGGGUAAAGGAAUUGGUAGGAAGGCGAGCCAGUGGUUAUGAAGUGGAAUCUCUGGAUGGAACUGUCCAUAUUCCAUUGCCUAGUCUUAUAGAAUGUAAUGACAUUCCUAAUAACCGAGAUGAGAUACCAACUCCUGAUGUGGCUCUUCACCAUGCACACCUCAAGUCAGUGGCACACUUCAUCCCAGACAUCGACCCUCAAGCCCCAAUUAUGCUUCUUCUAGGUCGGGACAUUAUUAGAGUGCAUAAAGUCCGCAAACAGGUGAAUGGUCCACACAACCUGCCUUAUGCACAGAAGCUCGACCUAGGGUGGGUCAUUGUAGGCAAUGUAUGUCUGGGUGGCGUCCACAAACCUCGAACAAUCAGCACUUUCUACACCAACACCACAGAGCUACAGCGCCCUACGCUCUUUGAUCCAUGUCCCAAUGUAUUCCGUAUCAAAGAAAAGUACAGUGAUGUACAGGUGCUUAAUCACUGUCCAACAUUGUCUGAGGAGAAUUAUUCCUGCGAGAUUGACCACCUGGGGUGCACUGUUUUCAAGAGAACUAAGGAUGACAAUAAGAUGGCUCCUUCAAUCCAAGAUGCAUCCUUCAUGAAAAUAAUGGAUGAGGGGCUACAGAAAGAUUCAAACAACAGCUGGAUAGCACCGCUACCCUUUAAGUGUCCAAGGCAGCGACUCCCCAACAACAGACCCCAAGCACAUAAGCGUCUUAUGUCCCUCAUGCGCAACUUUGACAGGAAGCCUGAAAUGAGAGAUCAUUUCCUCAGCUUCAUGGACAAGAUGUUUAAGAAUGGCCAUGUUGAGUUGGCUCCUCCUCUCAGGGAGGAAGUAGAACGAUGGUACCUGCCAAUGUUUGGUGUGUAUCAUCCAAAGAAACCGAAGCAAAUCAGAGUCGUGUUCGAUUCCAGUGCCAAAUACAAUGGCGUAUCGCUCAACGAUGUACUGUUAACCGGGCCUGAUCUAAACAACACACUGAUUGGUGUACUGAUACGCUUCAGAAAAGAAGCAAUUGCUUUUACAGCAGACAUAGAACAGAUGUUCUAUUG
ensembl:lncRNA